rnacentral:rRNA from 1 species
UACGAAGGGGGCUAGCGUUGUUCGGAAUUACUGGGCGUAAAGCGCACGCAGGCGGUCUGUCAAGUCGGAUGUGAAAUCCCCGGGCUCAACCUGGGAACUGCAUUCGAAACUGGCAGGCUAGAGUCUUGUAGAGGGGGGUAGAAUUCCAGGUGUAGCGGUGAAAUGCGUAGAGAUCUGGAGGAAUACCGGUGGCGAAGGCGGCCCCCAGGACAAAGACUGACGCUCAGGUGCGAAAGCGUGGGGAGCAAACAGG